UAUCAUUUUGACAAAACAAAAACCCUAAAAUCUCAGGCGUCGCCACACUGUCCUGUUGCAUUGUCCUUCCUCACCAGCGAACGAACAAAUACUCCGAAACUCCAGUCACUGUGUCACACUUCCAAUAGCACAACAAAACUGGAUAUCCCAAAACCCUAAUUCCCCAAUCUCCCUCUCUCUCCCCUCUCUCUCUCUCUCUCUCUCUCUCUCUCUCUCUCUCUCUCUAACCUCUGAGCCUCCACCGUGACAGCUUCUAUUUCCGGCAACAGAAGAAAUGGACCGUUGCCUCAGCCACAGCGAGGCUCUCUCCCCGAAGCUUUCAAUCUUCGGCAACUCCAAGCCUUAUUCGUCGAAACCAAACAGCUUCCGCUUCGUCGUCUACUCCAAGAAGCUCGAAGCGCGAAACGCUGCCGUUCCUUCUCUGCGCCUCCGAUCAUUUCCGUCGCAGCUCGCCACUUUCAGUAACCGUACGAGUUGUCGCCGAGUCAACUCGGUCCGGUGCGAUUCGGUUAAUGAUGGGGCUGCUGCCGCGAAAGAUGGGGCGCCGCCGAAGCUCGGGAAGAGGACGGACAUUAAGAAGAUUCUGAUUCUCGGAGCCGGGCCGAUUGUGAUAGGGCAAGCUUGCGAGUUCGAUUACUCUGGGACUCAGGCGUGCAAGGCGCUGAAGGAGGAUGGAUACGAGGUCGUUUUGAUCAAUUCCAACCCGGCCACGAUCAUGACUGACCCUGACUUAGCCGACAGGACUUACAUUACGCCGAUGACGCCCGAGCUGGUCGAGCAGGUUCUCGAGAAGGAGCGGCCCGACGCUCUAUUGCCAACUAUGGGCGGCCAGACGGCGCUGAAUUUGGCUGUGGCGCUGGCCGAGAGUGGGGCUCUGGCUAAAUACGGAGUGGAAUUGAUUGGGGCAAAGCUGGAGGCCAUCAAAAAAGCAGAGGACCGGGACUUGUUCAAGCAGGCCAUGAAGAACAUUGGUGUGAAAACCCCGCCAUCAGGGAUUGCCACGACACUGGAUGAAUGUAUCGAAAUUGCAAAUAAAAUUGGAGAGUUUCCGUUGAUUAUUAGGCCGGCGUUUACUUUGGGAGGGACUGGAGGUGGCAUUGCUUAUAACAGAGAAGAAUUUGAGGACAUUUGUAAGGCAGGGAUUGCUGCGAGUGUGACGUCUCAGGUUUUGGUGGAGAAGUCGUUGUUGGGAUGGAAGGAGUAUGAGCUUGAGGUGAUGAGGGACUUGGCUGACAAUGUGGUGAUUAUAUGCUCCAUUGAGAACAUCGACCCAAUGGGGGUUCAUACCGGGGACUCUAUCACUGUGGCGCCGGCUCAAACUUUGACGGAUAAGGAGUAUCAGCGGCUGAGGGACUAUUCCAUUGCUAUCAUAAGGGAGAUUGGAGUGGAAUGUGGCGGUUCCAAUGUGCAGUUUGCCGUUAAUCCCAUUGAUGGUGAGGUUAUGGUGAUUGAAAUGAACCCGAGGGUAUCUCGUUCCUCGGCUUUGGCAUCCAAAGCUACCGGCUUUCCCAUUGCGAAAAUGGCUGCCAAGUUGUCCGUAGGCUAUUCAUUGGAUCAGAUACCAAAUGACAUUACAAAGAAGACCCCGGCUAGCUUUGAGCCUUCCAUAGAUUAUGUAGUAACCAAGAUUCCCAGGUUUGCAUUUGAAAAAUUUCCAGGUUCACAACCAAUUUUGACUACACAAAUGAAAUCUGUUGGUGAGUCAAUGGCGCUGGGUCGCACGUUUCAAGAGUCUUUUCAGAAAGCAGUUCGAUCUUUGGAAUGUGGUUUCUCUGGAUGGGGCUGUGCUAAAAUUAAGGAGCUUGACUGGGAUUGGGAACAAUUGAAGUAUAGCCUCCGAGUCCCUAACCCAGAGCGUAUCCAUGCCAUAUAUGCUGCAAUGAAGAGGGGUAUGAAGGUCGAUGAUAUUCAUGAGUUGAGUUUCAUUGACAAAUGGUUCCUCACACAGCUUAAGGAGCUGGUAGAUGUGGAGCAAUACCUUCUGGCAAGAAACUUGUCUGAUUUAACAAAGGAUGAGUUCUACGAAGUGAAAAAGAGAGGUUUCAGUGACAAACAGAUAGCUUUUGCCACUAAAUCCUCUGAAAAAGACGUCAGGAUGAAGAGACUAUCACUAGGUGUUGCUCCAUCAUAUAAGCGGGUGGAUACUUGUGCUGCAGAAUUUGAGGCCAAUACUCCUUACAUGUACUCUUCCUAUGACUAUGAGUGUGAAUCAGCUCCCACCCAAAGUAAGAAGGUUUUGAUUUUAGGUGGAGGACCAAAUCGAAUCGGUCAAGGGAUCGAGUUUGACUACUGUUGUUGCCAUACGUCCUUUGCACUUCAGAAAGCAGGAUAUGAGACAAUUAUGAUGAAUUCAAAUCCUGAAACGGUAUCCACAGAUUAUGACACAAGUGACCGUCUAUAUUUUGAGCCACUGACUGUCGAAGACGUGCUGAAUAUAAUUGAUCUGGAAAGACCUGAUGGUAUCAUUGUGCAGUUUGGAGGUCAAACACCGCUGAAGCUGUCUCUUCCUAUUCAGCAGUAUCUAGAUGAGAACAAGCCUGAAUGUGCUAGUGGGAAUGGACAUGUACGCAUUUGGGGUACUUCGCCGGCUUCCAUAGAUGAUGCUGAGGACAGGGAAAAGUUCAAUACAAUCCUUAAUGAGUUAAAGAUUGAACAACCAAAAGGAGGUAUUGCCAGGAGUGAAGCUGAUGCUGUUGCCAUCGCUAAGGACAUCGGGUACCCAGUUGUUGUCCGGCCUUCGUAUGUAUUGGGUGGCCGAGCCAUGGAGAUUGUAUAUAGCGACAAAAAACUUGCGACCUACCUCGAAAAUGCUGUUGAAGUGGACCCAGAGCGCCCUGUGUUGAUUGACAAGUAUCUAUCUGAUGCCAUUGAGAUUGAUGUCGAUGCACUUGCUGACUCUCAGGGGAACGUUGUCAUUGGUGGGAUAAUGGAGCACAUUGAACAGGCUGGAGUCCAUUCUGGUGACUCUGCUUGCUCGAUUCCAACAAAAACCAUCCCUGCUUCUUGCUUGGACACAAUUAGGACAUGGACUACAAAAUUGGCUAGGAGGCUGAAUGUAUGUGGGCUGAUGAACUGUCAGUAUGCAAUUACCUUGUCUGGAGACGUUUUCUUACUUGAGGCAAACCCUCGUGCUUCCCGUACUGUCCCUUUUGUGUCCAAGGCGAUUGGGCAUCCAUUGGCUAAAUAUGCUUCUCUUGUCAUGUCUGGGAAGUCUCUUCAUGAUCUAAAUUUCACAAAAGAGGUCAUUCCUGCACAUGUAUCAGUAAAGGAAGCUGUUCUUCCAUUUGAGAAGUUCCCAGGAUGUGAUGUGUUGCUGGGGCCUGAGAUGCGUAGUACUGGGGAGGUGAUGGGUAUUGAUUACGAGUUUCCCAUUGCAUUCGCCAAGGCUCAGAUUUCUGCAGGGCAGAAGCUGCCACUUACUGGCACUGUGUUCCUCAGCUUAAAUGAUAUGACCAAACCUCAUCUUGAAAAGAUUGCCAAAGCCUUUUUGGGACUUGGAUUUAAGAUUGUUUCAACUUCUGGGACAGCACAUAUUCUUGAAUUAGCAAAACUUCCAGUGGAACGAGUGCUCAAACUUCAUGAAGGACGGCCUCAUGCCGCUGAUAUGGUUGCUAAUGGCCAAAUCCAGUUAAUGGUGAUCACAAGUUCGGGUGAUGCACUUGAUCAGAUUGAUGGACGGCAACUGAGGAGGUCGGGCCUUGCUUACAAGAUUCCAGUAAUAACAACUAUUGCCGGAGCUUUGUCAACUGCAGAAGCAAUAAAGAGCUUAAAGUCUAGCACUAUUAAGAUGAUUGCACUGCAGGACUUCUUUGAGGAUGAGAACAAAGCUGGGAGUGAUAAAACAUUGCAGUCAGUCACUUCCUCCCUCUGAGCUGACCCAGAUUGUCCGCUAUUCUGUGCUGUAUGUUAUCUUGCUCGGACAUAUACUUUUUCAAACUGCUCUAUAGCGUAGCAAAAUCAUCAGAAAGCUUCUGCAUUAAUGAGAAAGAAUCCAGUUUUGGACAUAUCAUAUUGGUGUUUCUGCCUAGGCUCAGACCCGAGACAGGUUCUUAGGAGAGGAUAGAUUUACCAUUACCCUGCCCCCCUAUCGGCCACCACAUCGCUUCUGAUCAAACAUUUUACGCUCUUGGCGUGGCACAUUAACGUUUCUUUGGUCACGGGUGUGUUAACUGACCUUGGUCAUUUUUGGAAUUCUCUUGAGCUAGUAACACUUGGUAUAUGUGUAGCAGCAGAAUUUGUUUUUCUUUUAUAUCUGAUUGAGCAUUUCAGUCAUGAACCUAGUUGAUAAACAAGACAUGGGUGUUUAAAAGACAUCUAGACAGAACCUUUACCUAAAACUUUUCCAAAUGUAAUGAUUGUGGUUGUUUUUUUC